UGCGUAGGUGGUCAGGUAAGUCGGAUGUGAAAUCUCGGAGCUCAACUCCGAAACGGCAUUGGAAACUACCUGGCUCGAGGAAUGGAGGGGGGACUGGAAUUCUCGGUGUAGCAGUGAAAUGCGUAGAUAUCGAGAGGAACACCAGUGGCGAAGGCGAGUCCCUGGACAUCUCCUGACACUGAGGCACGAAAGCUAGGGGAGCAAACA
rnacentral:rRNA from 1 species